CGGGCUAGAAGCGACGCAU
rnacentral:snRNA from 1 species